UAAAAACCUAAAUACUCUUUUUGUGAAUAAUCAAGUGAUUUUAUUCUUUAAUUACUCUCAACUUCACUUUAAAGACUUUUUAUAAGUCUUAUACUCUAUCUUAACUUCUUGUAUAAACAUUGCCACACUACAAUCACCCUUCUUCUCUCAUAAAAUACUUCUUACCUCACAAAACACUUUUUAUCUUUAUAUGACGAUUUCAAGAGAAGUUUAUCACAUAAAACCACAAUGUUAGAUUAUAAAUGAUGUAAAUUAGCAAAAAAACAUAAUACUA
rnacentral:lncRNA from 1 species